rnacentral:lncRNA from 1 species
UGCUAAAUAAAUUGCAUACUUUUAUAAUCUCAUAUAAAUCUUGUUCUGAUUGUUAAUUUGCAUACCAACAUUCUGGUAUCAGAGCACCGAUCUUAAGAGAUAUGUGAGAUUUAAAAAGUCAAAAACACAAAAACCUACAAACAGCCUAAGAUGGAAUUAGAAGUUUCUUUCACGUAAAUCCCACAUCCAGCAUUUGAUGGAACAAAUUAUCAAAUGUGGGAUGUCAAAAUGGAAGCCUAUCUUGAUGCUAAUGAUCCAUGGAAAGCUGUAGAGCAAGAAUAUGAAGUUCCUGACUUACUAGGCCAUCCAACUCUUGCUCAAAUGAAAAAUCAUAAAGAAAAGAAGCUAAGAAAAUCAAAAGCAAGAGCAACCUUGUUUACAGCCGUCUCUUCCAUUAUUUUCAACAGAAUAAUGACAAUGAAAACAGCUAAAGAGAUUUGGGAUUUGUUAAAGCAAGAGUAUGAAGUGAAAAGAUCAAAGGAAUGCAAGAGCUAACUUUGGUUCAAGAAUUUGAGAUGCAAUGGAUGAAAGAGUAAGAGACAAUCAAAGAUUAUGCGGACAAGCUUCUCAGUCUUGCCAAUAAACCGAGUUUUCUGAUUCUAGAAUUGUUCAAAAAAUUCUUGUCACAAUUCCUGAGAAAUUUGAAGCGACAAUUACUUCUUUGGAAAACUCAAGAGAUUUGUCAAGAAUUACCUUGGCAGAAUUGUUGAAUGCUCUGCAAGCUCAAGAACAAAGAAGGCUUAUGAGGCAGGAAGGUUAUCUGAAAGGUGCUUUUCAAGCUAAAUCUCAGAAUAACUAAGGUGGCAAGAACAAGAAAAAGGAGCAGAACAACAAGUCAGGAAGCUCAAACAACUACAAUAAUAACAGCGGCAAAACCUCUCAGGACUUUCCAUCUUGUCCUUGCUGCAAAAAAAACCAAUCAUCCACAGAAUAAGUGUUGGUGGAGGCAAAAUGCAAAAUGCAACAACUGUGGUCAAUUAGGGCAUAUGGAGAGGAUUUGUAAGUCUCAACAACAGCAAGAUGAAGCAAAAGCUGUAGUAGAACAACCUCAGGAAGAUCAGCUAUUUGCAGUAUCCUGCUUUGCUACUUUAAGCUCCACAGAAAGGUGGCUAAUAGACGGUGGCUGUACAAACCACAUGACUUAUGACCAAGAACUAUUCAGAAAACUUGACACAAGCUUCAUCUCCAAAGUCAGAAUUGGAAAUGGAAAACAUAUCUCUGUAAAAGGCAAAGGAACUGUAGCAAUUGAAGGGUGCACAAGCUUGAAACUAAUCUCUGAUGUUUUAUACGUUCCUGAAAUUAAUCAAAAUCUGUUAAGUAUUGGUCAGUUACUGGAAAAGGGCUACAAAGUUUUAUUUGAAGACAAAAAUUGCAUGAUCAAGGAUGCAGACGGUAGGGAAAUAUUCAAAAUUAAAAUGAAAGGCAAAAGUUUUUCCUUGAACUUAAUAGAAGAAGAGCAAGCUGUAGUGCACAAAGAAGAAAGCAAUACAAUGCUUUGGCACAAGAUAUUGUGACAUUUUCAUCAUGAUGCUUUACUUUACAUGAAAAAGAAUGAUCUUGUGGUAGGUCUACCUAAAUUGGAAGAAGAAUUGCCUACAUGUGUUGCAUGUCAAUAUGGCAAGCAAGCAAGGCUACCCUUUCCAAAGAACAAAGUUUGGAGAGCUACACACAAGCUGCAAUUAGUGCACACAGAUGUAGGAGGACCUCAGAAAACACCAUCUCUGAAUGGUAGUAAGUACUAUAUUGCUUUCAUUGAUGAUUACACUAGAAUGUGUUGGAUUUAUUUCAUGAAACACAAAACUGAGGUUGCUGACAUCUUUAAUAAGUUUAAAACUUGGGUAGAAACUCAAAGUGGAACAAAAUUAC